rnacentral:lncRNA from 1 species
UUCUUCCUCUGAAGUUUGGACUUCAGUUUGUGAGAUGUUGGUGAUGAUGACGAUGAUGAUGACGACUGGCUUUUUAAAUAUUCUGAGCAGAUACAGCUCUCUAAAAUGGGCAAUCUUCAUUCUGUUAGACAAUGAUGAAGCUCCAGGUUUGGAGAACUGGCAGGGAGUCCAUCACUAAGGUCAGGAUUAUGGAUUCUGCAGUCAGAUUGCCUGGAUUGAAAUUCUGAUUCAACAGCAGAUGUCAUAUGGAGGAAAAAUAAAGUGAAGAAAAGAUCCA